ACCCAACACUCUCAAUUUAAGAGCAAUUAUAUUAACCCCUCAAACUCUUAGCUCUCUCAAAAUAGAGGAGAACCAGGGAAAUGAGGAUGAUUAAAAUGAAAGGGUGAGCCCUUAUAUUUAUAUUCAAAAUUGGCUAUUAUUUUAAUUUUUUUCAAUGUUCAUGGCUGUCAAAGUCGUGUUCUACCAUUUCUCUCUUCUUCUU
rnacentral:lncRNA from 1 species